rnacentral:rRNA from 1 species
AUUGAACGCUGGCGGCAUGCUUUACACAUGCAAGUCGAGCGGCAGCGCGGGGGCAACCCUGGCGGCGAGCGGCGAACGGGUGAGUAAUGCAUCGGAACGUGUCCCGUAGUGGGGGAUAACCCGGCGAAAGCCGGACUAAUACCGCAUAUUUCUCUACGGAGGAAAGGGGGGGACCCGCAAGGGCCUCUCGCUAUGGGAGCGGCCGAUGUCCGAUUAGCUUGUUGGUGAGGUAAUGGCUUACCAAGGCGACGAUCGGUAGCUGGUCUGAGAGGAUGAUCAGCCACACUGGGACUGAGACACGGCCCAGACUCCUACGGGAGGCAGCAGUGGGGAAUUUUGGACAAUGGGGGCAACCCUGAUCCAGCCAUGCCGCGUGCGGGAAGAAGGCCUUCGGGUUGUAAACCGCUUUUAUUCGGAAAGAAGGAAUCCGGGCUAAUACCCUGGAGGACGGACGGUAACGGAUGAAUAAGCACCGGCUAACUACGUGCCAGCCGCCGCGGUAAUAC